AUACGUAGGGCGCGAGCGUUGUCCGGAUUCAUUGGGCGUAAAGAGCUCGUAGGCGGCCUGCCGCGUCUGCCGUGAAAGCCCACGGCUCAACCGUGGGUCUGCGGCGGAUACGGGCGGGCUUGAGGCUGGUAGGGGCAAGCGGAAUUCCUGGUGUAGCGGUGAAAUGCGCAGAUAUCAGGAGGAACACCGGUGGCGAAGGCGGCUUGCUGGGCCAGUCCUGACGCUGAGGAGCGAAAGCGUGGGGAGCGAACAGGAUUAGAUACCCUGGUAGUCCACGCCGUAAACGUUGGGCGCUGGGUGUGGGGGCUUUCCACGGUUCCCGUGCCGUAGCUAACGCGUUAAGCGCCCCGCCUGGGGAGUACGGCCGCAAGGCUAAA
rnacentral:rRNA from 1 species